AGCGAACGCUGGCGGCAGGCCUAACACAUGCAAGUCGAACGAAGCCUUCGGGCUUAGUGGCGGACGGGUGAGUAACACGUGGGAACGUACCUUUUGGUUCGGAAUAACGCAGAGAAAUUUGCGCUAAUACCGAAUGAGCCCUUCGGGGGAAAGAUUUAUCGCCGAAAGAUCGGCCCGCGUUGGAUUAGGUAGUUGGUGUGGUAAAGGCGCACCAAGCCUACGAUCCAUAGCUGGUCUGAGAGGAUGAUCAGCCACACUGGGACUGAGACACGGCCCAGACUCCUACGGGAGGCAGCAGUGGGGAAUCUUGCGCAAUGGGCGAAAGCCUGACGCAGCCAUGCCGCGUGAAUGAUGAAGGUCUUAGGAUUGUAAAAUUCUCUUACCAGGGACGAUCAUGACGGUACCUGGAGAAAAAGCCCCGGCUAACUUCGUGCCAGCCGCCGCCGUAACAC
rnacentral:rRNA from 1 species